rnacentral:rRNA from 1 species
AGAGUUUGAUCAUGGCUCAGGAUGAACGCUAGCUACAGGCUUAACACAUGCAAGUCGAGGGGCAGCAUGGUCUUAGCUUGCUAAGGCCGAUGGCGACCGGCGCACGGGUGAGUAACACGUAUCCAACCUGCCGUCUACUCUUGGACAGCCUUCUGAAAGGAAGAUUAAUACAAGAUGGCAUCAUGAGUCCACAUGUUCACAUGAUUAAAGGUAUUCCGGUAGACGAUGGGGAUGCGUUCCAUUAGAUAGUAGGCGGGGUAACGGCCCACCUAGUCUUCGAUGGAUAGGGGUUCUGAGAGGAAGGUCCCCCACAUUGGAACUGAGACACGGUCCAAACUCCUACGGGAGGCAGCAGUGAGGAAUAUUGGUCAAUGGGCGAGAGCCUGAACCAGCCAAGUAGCGUGAAGGAUGACUGCCCUAUGGGUUGUAAACUUCUUUUAUAAAGGAAUAAAGUCGGGUAUGCAUACCCGUUUGCAUGUACUCUAUGAAUAAGGAUCGGCUAACUCCGUGCCAGCAGACGCGGUAAUACGGAGGAUCCGAGCGUUAUCCGGAUUUAUUGGGUUUAAAGGGAGCGUAGAUGGAUGUUUAAGUCAGUUGUGAAAGUUUGCGGCUCAACCGUAAAAUUGCAGUUGAUACUGGAUAUCUUGAGUGCAGUUGAGGCAGGCGGAAUUCGUGGUGUAGCGGUGAAAUGCUUAGAUAUCACGAAGAACUCCGAUUGCGAAGGCAGCCUGCUAAGCUGCAACUGACAUUGAGGCUCGAAAGUGUGGGUAUCAAACAGGAUUAGAUACCCUGGUAGUCCACACGGUAAACGAUGAAUACUCGCUGUUUGCGAUAUACUGCAAGCGGCCAAGCGAAAGCGUUAAGUAUUCCACCUGGGGAGUACGCCGGCAACGGUGAAACUCAAAGGAAUUGACGGGGGCCCGCACAAGCGGAGGAACAUGUGGUUUAAUUCGAUGAUACGCGAGGAACCUUACCCGGGCUUAAAUUGCUGAUGAAUUACGGUGAAAGCCGUAAGCCGCAAGGCAUCUGUGAAGGUGCUGCAUGGUUGUCGUCAGCUCGUGCCGUGAGGUGUCGGCUUAAGUGCCAUAACGAGCGCAACCCUUGUUGUCAGUUACUAACAGGUUCUGCUGCGGACUCUGACAAGACUGCCAUCGUAAGAUGUGAGGAAGGUGGGGAUGACGUCAAAUCAGCACGGCCCUUACGUCCGGGGCUACACACGUGUUACAAUGGGGGGUACAGAGGGCCGCUACCACGCGAGUGGAUGCCAAUCCCAAAAACCUCUCUCAGUUCGGACUGGAGUCUGCAACCCGACUCCACGAAGCUGGAUUCGCUAGUAAUCGCGCAUCAGCCACGGCGCGGUGAAUACGUUCCCGGGCCUUGUACACACCGCCCGUCAAGCCAUGGGAGCCGGGGGUACCUGAAGUGCGUAACCGCGAGGAGCGCCCUAGGGUAAAACUGGUGACUGGGGCUAAGUCGUAACAAGGUA